rnacentral:rRNA from 1 species
UACGGAGGGUGCAAACGUUGCUCGGAAUUAUUGGACGUAAAGCGCACGUAGGCGGCUCGUUAAGUCGGAUGUGAAAGCCCGCGGCUCAACCGCGGAAGUGCAUCCGAAACUAGCGAGCUUGAGUAUGGAAAAGGGUCUCGGAAUUCCCGGUGUAGAGGUGAAAUUCGUAGAUAUCGGGAGGAACACCAGUGGCGAAGGCGGAGACCUGGGCCAAUACUGACGCUGAGGUGCGAAAAGCGUGGGGAGCAAACAGGG